GUAGGUGGCAAGCGUUGUCCGGAAUUAUUGGGCGUAAAGCGCGCGCAGGCGGUUCUUUAAGUCUGAUGUGAAAGCCCACGGCUCAACCGUGGAGGGUCAUUGGAAACUGGAGAACUUGAGUACAGAAGAGGAAAGCGGAAUUCCACGUGUAGCGGUGAAGUGCGUAGAGAUGUGGAGGAACACCAGUGGCGAAGGCGGCUUUCUGGUCUGUAACUGACGCUGAGGCGCGAAAGCGUGGGGAGCAAACAGGGAUUAGAUACCCUGGUAGUCCACGCCGUAAACGAUGAGUGCUAAGUGUUAGGGGGUUUUCCGCCCCCCUUAGUGCUGCAGCUAACGCAUUAAGCACUCCCCCCCUGGGGAGUACGGCCGCAAGGCUG
rnacentral:rRNA from 1 species